rnacentral:rRNA from 1 species
AUUGAACGCUGGCGGAAUGCUUUACACAUGCAAGUCGAACGAUGAGACCUAGCUUGCUAGGUUGACUAGUGGCGAACGGGUGAGUAAUGUAUCGGAACGUAUCCAAUAAUGGGGGAUAACUAAUCGAAAGGUUGGCUAAUACCGCAUACGCCCUACGGGGGAAAGCAGGGGAUCUUCGGACCUUGCGUUAAUGGAGCGGCCGAUAUCUGAUUAGCUAGUUGGUGAGGUAAAAGCUCACCAAGGCGACGAUCAGUAGCUGGUCUGAGAGGACGACCAGCCACACUGGAACUGAGACACGGUCCAGACUCCUACGGGAAGCAGCAGUGGGGAAUUUUGGACAAUGGGCGAAAGCCUGAUCCAGCCAUUCCGCGUGAGUGAAGAAGGCCUUCGGGUUGUAAAGCUCUUUCGCAAGGGAAGAAACGAUGCAGUCGAAUAAACUGUGUUAAUGACGGUACCUUGAUAAGAAGCACCGGCUAACUACGUGCCAGCCGCCGCGGUAA